ACAAAAAGAAGUUUGCAGGAUGCACUCCAGGACUGAAGUCCUGGAGUGCAUCCUGCAAACUUCU